CUGGGGUAGGAGGGACAUCACUGGAGAUUUUUGACAGGUCAUGGAGAUAAAAAGGACAGGAAAAGAAGACCGAAACGGAGCAGCCAGCACAAUAGGAGAAGCACAGUUUCGAGGUUCUACAGCCUAACACUUGAGUGUGCGGUUCUGUGCAGACAGACAAUGAAGUUCAGGGCUGCAGGCCGCAGAUCUAAAGGCUGAUCCUGGGUCAGACACGAUCUGCCUAAAUGACCCUGGCAAAUUAUCUGGUCUCUUGUGCCUGUAACUACAUCUAUAAAACGUCAGAAAUAUUGACCUGUCCCCAAGUAGGUGAACUUUAAGAAACAGGCUUUGGAAAUCUUGGGAAGAAUGAUUUAAAAGUACCGCUUCCUGCUGGUGACCCAACCUAAGCAUAGUGUGUGGAGGAAUGCAAACGAUCAGCCUUUCCCAUGCAGUCGGCCGCACUGAAGUACUGUGGGUGACGAAAAUGGAUCUGUUGCCUAAGCUGGGUGUGGAAAAACCACGUGCCAGGCUGGAAAUCGAUGAAUUCACACCUUCUCUCUCGCUCCCUCAAGUUGGGCUGUGAUAUGAAUGACCUUUCCUAGAAGCAAAAGGAGGAAGAUGGAGUGUGACCACAGCGUCUGCUGAAUGUCAUUGAGAUGGUCACAUUCUCACUGACAGAUGGAGACUUGGGCAAAAGACCACUGAGGUGUGCACCUUCCUACCACCUUUGAACAGAACUCCCUCUGCUCUCGUCUCUGCAGCUAUAAGGUUUUCUCCCACCACAUGGAAAGGUGGCAGAAAGCCACAAUUCUGGAAAGAUGAGUGUUGUUCUAGAAAACUACCCUGACAUGCAACAGGCUCGUCAGCCCCAUGGAUGAGAUGUUUUGAAUUUCUUUCCUCUCCAUUUCUACUAUCUUCCUAUUUUUCGUGUAACUAACCUCUAAACCUCUCCUUGGCGAUCAGGCCUCCCUUCUGAUCCAGGU